rnacentral:rRNA from 1 species
UACGUAGGGGGCAAGCGUUGUCCGGAAUUAUUGGGCGUAAAGAGCGUGUAGGCGGCCAGAUAAGUCCGCUGUGAAAUCUCGAGGCUCAACUUCGAGCUGUCGGUGGAAACUAUCUGGCUAGAGUCCGGAAGAGGAGAAUGGAAUUCCUGGUGUAGCAGUGAAAUGCGUAGAGAUGUGGAGGAACACCGAUGGCGAAGGCAGCCCCCUGGGCUAACACUGACGCUCAGGCACGAAAGCGUGGGGAGCAAACAGG